UAUAUAACUGGGCAAAAUUGCUCCUGAUAGCCGUUUUAAAUUCCUCUUCAUUGAUUAGUGAAUUCAAUCCUUUCAUUUUUGAUAGUAAUUUGGUUUUCCUCUUUACCUUUUAAAAUCAAACUAAUUAAUGAUUUUUCUAUCUUUUUUAUGUUAUUUCAUGUUUUUUUCAUUGUUCUCAUUUCAAAAAUCAUUUUUGAUUUCUAUAGUCAAAUUCCUUUUUUUUGCUCAUUGAUUUCUGCCUAUUUUGUGACUUGGUGUUUUUACUUAAGCUUUUUGUGCUAGGACUCAGGAUCUUGCUGCUGGCUUUCACUGGAUUUCAGUGCCCAGCUACUAGUUUGCACCGGAGGGUUCCCUUCUGUAUUGUGCAGAAGGUCCGGGGCCUCCCAGGUGUCCUGGCUGGGUGUGGAGUUUGACUGCCGGCCUGAACCAGGGUCAGGACCUUGCUGCUGAGUUGCUAUGGAAACAAAGUCUUUCUUUUGGCGGGUUCUUGGGGGAGGGAUCUCGUUUCUGGCCCGCCCUGUAAGAAGAACCUUGCGGCUGUGUUGCUAUGGCAACAAGUCUUUCUGCCGGCUGGCUCUGGGGGAGGGAUCUUGUUUCUAGCCGGCCCCAGAGGCGGGGCCUGGCUGCUGCAUUGCUAUGGAAACAGAGCCUUCUGUUGGCUGGCCGGCCCGGGAGGGGGAGGGAUCCGGUGGCUGGCCUGCCCGGGCUCCUAGCGCUUGCUGCUAGGUUGCUAUGGAAACAGGGCCUCUCGCCUUCAGGGCCUCGGGUCUGUGAUCUUGUUGCGGGGAGGCCCCGGUGCCAGGGUCCCAUUGUUGGCUAUCCGGCGGGGUGGGGCCGCACUUUCUGGUCAGCUGUCGGGGUCAGCUCUGACCCGUGGCCCGCGCGGAUUUUUGUGGUAGGGCCUCGCCGUCCUGCCGCGCUGGUAGGCUUGCCCAGGGGCCUGCGGGCUUGCAGGAAGGCAGGGCCUCACUGGAGCAUUGCCCCAGGCUGGAAGCCUGGCCCUGGGCCCCCUGCUGUGAGACCGUCCGUAGCAGUUGCUGCUGCUGCUGCUGCUGCUGCUGCUCCUACUGUUGCUGCCCCCGCGCCGCCGCCGCCGCCGCUGCUGCUCUUGCACUUCUCUCCCCUCCUCCCCAUGAGCCUGCCGUUUCCGGACGUGCUGCUUUGUGGUUGCUGUUGGGUAGCUUGGUGA
rnacentral:lncRNA from 1 species